UACGUAGGUCCCGAGCGUUGUCCGGAUUUAUUGGGCGUAAAGCGAGCGCAGGUGGUUUAUUAAGUCUGGUGUAAAAGGCAGUGGCUCAACCAUUGUACGCAUUGGAAACCGGUAGACUUGAGUGCAGGAGAGGAGAGUGGAAUUCCAUGUGUAGCGGUGAAAUGCGUAGAUAUAUGGAGGAACACCGGUGGCGAAAGCGGCUCUCUGGCCUGUAACUGACACUGAGGCUCGAAAGCGUGGGGAGCAAACAGG
rnacentral:rRNA from 1 species